CCUCUCAUGGCGUAGUGGUAACGCGCCCCAACUAGAGAUCGGGGAGCCGUGAGUUCGAUUCUCACUGAGAAGA
rfam:Aedes aegypti strain Liverpool supercont1.39 genomic scaffold, whole genome shotgun sequence.